UACGGAGGGGGCGAGCGUUAUUCGGAAUUAUUGGGCGUAAAGGGCGCGUAGGCGGCUGAACAAGUCAAAGGUGAAAUCCCUCGGCUCAACUGAGGAACUGCCUUUGAAACUGUUCGGCUUGAGGCCGGGGAGGGGGGUAGCGGAAUUCCCAGUGUAGCGGUGAAAUGCGUAGAUAUCAGGAGGAACACCGGUGGCGAAGGCGGGUCUCUGGGCAGUAACUGACGCUGAGGCGCGAAAGCGUGGGGAGCAAACAGG
rnacentral:rRNA from 1 species